rnacentral:misc_RNA from 1 species
GAUGAAGAACGUAGCGAAAUGCGAUAAGUAAUGUGAAUUGCAGAAUUCAGUGAAUCAUCGAAUCUUUGAACGCACCUUGCGCUCCUUGGUAUUCCAAAGAGCAUGCCUGUUUGAGUAUCAUUAAAUUAUCAACUGUACCAAUUUGGUUGCAGAUUGGAUGUGGGAGAUUUUGCAGGCUUUUGAUUUCUCUUUGAGAAAACGGUCAGCUCUCCUGAAAUAUAUUAGCAGUGCCUUUGUUUGUUCAUUAGGUGUGAUAAUUUAUCUACAUCUUCAAAUGGUACCUUCAUUUGUGUAAAGGUCAUAUUGCUUCUAAUUGUCUUUGGACAUAAAAAAAAAAAACAUAUAAUUGUAUGGAAAACUUGAUCUCAAAUCAGGCAGGACUACCCGCUGAACUUAAGCAUAUCAAUAAGCGGAGGA